GUCAUCGUUAACGUCUAUUUUGGAGACAUCCAGAGGUGCAACUGGAUCACCUUUCCAGGACUCUCGAGUUCCUUAAAAACUAUCCAAUCAGAGCCCGAAAGCAGAAUUUCCAGUGAGUCUCUAGAUACCAUUUGGUGUGAGGAUCGUGCAUCUUUGGAGGUCACGGGGCGUGAUGACCACACCGGCCCUGAUUUCCCAUGUGCCCGGGCAUGCACUGUUUUUGUGCUCAAGCAAAUGCUAAAGGAUACCUAUCCUGAGUGACAGGAGUCUUUCCAGACUCAAAAGAAAAUGCCGUCGAACACAGAUCUGUGAGGGCGGUGGAUUCUGGACUAGUAAACAGCCGAUUCUCGGUCCUGGAAAGAGACCUAAUGUGAAGGGUCUCUCAAACCCAGCCUUGCUCCUCACAUUCCGAUUGCAGUUACUUGUGUCGGGAAGUGUCACAGUAGCUCAUCUUCUGUCCACGUGCAGAUGGGUUUAAAUCUCAGUGUCCCUGUUUCUCUCAUGAGUGCUCCGUGUUGCAGCUUUUAACUUUAAUUCAUCUAAUAAUGAGUUGUCCAAGUAACAAGAUGUAUUGUAGGCAUGAGUUUUCUGCACCAACUUGACUGCUAUUUGCAGAGGUA